CAGGAGGAAGAAAAAUCUAGGAGUUCAGACAAUCGCACUUAAUUGUUUUGAAUCAUCUCUAAAAGCUUAUUUCCACAUAACAAAAUUUAUUAAAUUGCUUUGUGAAGCAAGGCUGAUUUCCCACCGAAAUGAUGACUCAUGAGGUAUGACUAAGUCUUAUGUGUGUUCUUCUCCUAGCAAGUAAGCUACUGAUUCCCAGUGGGCCUGACAUAGGUCUUUACCUAGUGAACUUGAUAAGUGAACUUCACUGCCACGCCAGGCCAAGUCAAGAUGCAUAACUGGCACCAAAUAUUAGGAAUGAGCUACAAAAGUUCCAGAGAGAUCUCAUCUUUCCAAGCCCAACAUUCUUUCUUACCAAGUACUUCAAAACAGUGCUUGGUCUGCCAUCAUUUACUUGAUGAAACCUGGGACAGAGCUAAAGCCUACAAAAAUAGAGUUAAAUUUGUGUGUGAAACCAAACAGCACGAGAACCACUAAACAGCCUAUUUAAAAAAUGAAGAAAUUAAGAGUCAGAGAAGAAGUCAAGCAGCUUGUCCAAGGUCAUACAGUCAGGAUGUGGAAGAGCGGUGGUUUGGGCCAAGGCAGGUUCUAGAAUUGGAAGGAGUGAGAAGACUGGUGAUAAAGGGUCUCUUUAUCAAAGGGAUUUGAGGACUUUUACUUACCUCAGUGAUUCAUCACCAGAGCCUACCUGGGAGAUAGGCACCUUGUCUACUCCCCAGUUAACAAUCUUUGUGCUGGUAAUGCCCAGACUAGACCUCUACUCUGAAUACCUGACCUGUAGAACCACCUGCUUUUUAGACACCGCCACUCAGUUGUCCCUCAAACUCAUCCU